GACGAACGCUGGCGGCGUGCCUAAUACAUGCAAGUCGAACGCAGUGGGGACGGGUGAGUAACACGUGGGUAACCUCCCAUCAGAGGGGAUAAACCUUGGAAACAGGUGCUAAACCGCUACUGAUGGAUGAACCCGCGGUGCAUUAGCUAGUUGGUGAGGGAACGGCUCACCAAGGCCACGAUGCAUAGCCGACCUGAGAGGGUGAUCGGCCACACUGGGACUGAGACACGGCCCAGACGCCUACGGGAGGCAGCAGUAGGGAAUCUUCGGCAAUGGACGAAAGUCUGACCGAGCAACGCCGCGUGAGUGAAGAAGGUUUUCGGAUCGUAAAACUCUGUUGUUAGAGAAGCGGUAUCUAACCAGAAAGCCACGGCUAACUACGUGCCAGCAGCCGCGGUAAUUC
rnacentral:rRNA from 1 species